GCAUGUGAUUGUGCUACUCAUGGAAAUGAAGAAAGAGUCUCAACUUUGAUUAAAAAUGCCUUCAGAUUGAAAUAUAUAUUGUUUAAAAAUCUUUUUGAUUGUGCCUUUGCUUUAUUUAUUUUGACAGUGUAAAAGAAUAAUUUUCGAAUACGGGCCUAUAAUCCUUGCCGAUGCGGAGCAUUUGCUGGAAUCAAAUGAUGUAUGCACCAUGAUCCAUGACUGCCAGUUACCCAAGGCAAAUUCCAAUCAAGCAUUAACAUGUGAAACAAUGGUGCUUGCUACGUCUUGUUAACCUCUUGAUGGCAGAUAGUAUCAACAAAGAUGGGCUUUGUAGUUUUUUGUCAUACAAAGUUUGAUUGUAAAGAUGAUGAAUGAUCAUGUAUCAGAUGAUUUUUUUUAAUUAAUAAUAUUUUAGUUUUUUGUAUUUAAGUCAUAAUUUGUUA
rnacentral:lncRNA from 1 species